AUUGAACGCUGGCGGCAGGCCUAACACAUGCAAGUCGAACGGUAGCAGGAAGAAGCUUGCUUCUUUGCUGACGAGUGGCGGACGGGUGAGUAAUGUCUGGGAAACUGCCUGAUGGAGGGGGAUAACUACUGGAAACGGUAGCUAAUACCGCAUAACGUCGCAAGACCAAAGAGGGGGACCUUCGGGCCUCUUGCCAUCAGAUGUGCCCAGAUGGGAUUAGCUAGUAGGUGGGGUAACGGCUCACCUAGGCGACGAUCCCUAGCUGGUCUGAGAGGAUGACCAGCCACACUGGAACUGAGACACGGUCCAGACUCCUACGGGAGGCAGCAGUGGGGAAUAUUGCACAAUGGGCGCAAGCCUGAUGCAGCCAUGCCGCGUGUGUGAAGAAGGCCUUCGGGUUGUAAAGCACUUUCAGCGGGGAGGAAGGGGGAAUGGUUAAUAACCAUUGUCAUUGACGUUACCCGCAGAAGAAGCACCGGCUAACUCCGUGCCAGCCGCCGCGGUAA
rnacentral:rRNA from 1 species